rnacentral:rRNA from 1 species
AUUGAACGCUGGCGGCAGGCCUAACACAUGCAAGUCGAGCGGAUGAAGGGAGCUUGCUCCUGGAUUCAGCGGCGGACGGGUGAGUAAUGCCUAGAAAUCUGCCUGGUAGUGGGGGAUAACGUCCGGAAACGGGCGCUAAUACCGCAUACGUCCUGAGGGAGAAAGUGGGGGAUCUUCGGACCUCACGCUAUCAGAUGAGCCUAGGUCGGAUUAGCUAGUUGGUGGGGUAAAGGCCUACCAAGGCGACGAUCCGUAACUGGUCUGAUAGGAUGAUCAGUCACACUGGAGCGGAGACACGGUCCAGACGCCUACGAGAGGCAGCAGUGGGGAAUAUUGGACAGUGGGCGAAAGCCUGAUCCAGCCAUGCCGCGUGUGUGAAGAAGGUCUUCGGAUUGUAAAGCACUUUAAGUUGGGAGGAAGGGCUGUAAGUUAAUACCUUGCUGUUUUGACGUUACCAACAGAAUAAGCACCGGCUAACUUCGUG